rnacentral:snRNA from 1 species
GUGCUCACUUUGGCAGCAUAUACACUAAAAUUGGAAUGAUACAGAGAUUAGCAUGGACCCUGCACAAAGAUGACAUGCAAACUGGUGAAGCAUUUCAUAUUUUU